GCCCUUAUGGCCAAGUUGGUAAGGCAUCACACUAGUAAUGUGGGGAUCCUCAGUUCAAAUCUGAGUGAGGGCA
rfam:Brettanomyces bruxellensis AWRI1499 AWRI1499_contig3248_scaffold91, whole genome shotgun sequence.